rnacentral:rRNA from 1 species
UACGUAGGGGGCAAGCGUUGUCCGGAAUUAUUGGGCGUAAAGCGCGCGCAGGCGGUCCUUUAAGUCUGAUGUGAAAGCCCACGGCUCAACCGUGGAGGGUCAUUGGAAACUGGGGAACUUGAGUGCAGAAGAGGAAAGUGGAAUUCCAAGUGUAGCGGUGAAAUGCGUAGAGAUUUGGAGGAACACCAGUGGCGAAGGCGACUUUCUGGUCUGUAACUGACACUGAGGCGCGAAAGCGUGGGGAGCAAACAGG